UACGUAGGCAGCGAGCGUUGUUCGGAGUUACUGGGCGUAAAGAGUGCGUAGGCGGUGCUCCAAGUCUGGUGUGAAAUCUCCCGGCUUAACCGGGAGGGUGCGCCGGAAACUGGGGUGCUGGAGUGUGGGAGAGGUAAGCGGAAUUCCCGGUGUAGCGGUGAAAUGCGUAGAGAUCGGGAGGAACAUCAGUGGCGAAGGCGGCCAUCUGGGACAACACUGACGCUGAAGCACGAAAGCGUGGGGAGCAAACAGG
rnacentral:rRNA from 1 species